UGAAACGUGUAUAAAUUCAGUUAAAGGAAAAGAUAUUUCCUGGCACUAAGCCAUGGUGCAUUUCCCGCUUUAUUUUGGUUCGAAAUUAAACCACCGCAUUUACUUGGCACUUCUAAAAACAUAGCACAUUUACCCCGGUUUAUCCUGGAUCUGUUUGGGACAUGGUCACAAUUGACUGUUGCAUUUUGCAUGCCAUGGUGUACUACAUCUGUUACGACAUAAAUUGUUAUAGGUAAAUGGCCAUAUUUGGAAGUAAAAACAUGAUUAUUCAAUUCUAAAGAAUGUAAUUAGGGUUGUAGGAUAUGCUAACAGGGGCCAAAUUGCUGACAGUCCUUACUUUUGUUAUUCAGCUGGAUCCAUCGAGCAUUCAUUUUUUUGGAGGGAGCAUUCUUGUGACUCAAACCCAAUUUCCUACGAUGGAGUUCCUUUGAUAAUUGUUGGGAAGCAGCGACGUAAAUGUUUUCAUGGGCCGGAUAGAAAUCGGGGUAAAAAGAAAAAGAUGGAAGACAGAAAAAAGGUUGAUCAUCCUUAAGAAGAAAAGGGAAGGAAGCUUGUCCAGCCUACCCACAAACGGAAUUGCCCUGCGUUCAUCAUGCUGCGAUAUAUCGUCAGGUUUCCGGAGUAUAAGAUACACUCUGAUUCCAAUUACCAAUGUAGAACACAAAUUGAUCGGCUGAAAAGUGACCUACAGAACAAAGUCAUGCCUGUGUUGGAACAUCGGGUGUAUUGCUUUACCCCAGAAAGUGCUGAACACAAAUACCAUGUGAGAGGAGAGUUUGGAUCGACAUUUCAGCCAUUGGACAAAGUCAUCAUCAACAGAAUCAAAGCUCUUGUUGCAGAAGGAAUCUACUAUUGUAGUCUUCAAUCAUACAAUUCAAAAUGAGGAGGAUUGCCAACUCUCAGUCAGAGGAAGAGUUCAAUGUAGCUGUUGAAACCCUCAAGGACUCUGUAGAUUGGAAAGAAAAUCACAAGUUCCACACAUGGUUUCAGAGACACUGUUAAUCUGUGGCAGAGAGAUGGGUACAAUACCACCGUCAGACAUAUUUGAUUGUGCGGGUGAACACUACAAAUGGCCUGGAAAGGCAGCACAAGGAGUUUAAAGAGAACUACUUGGCCAACUAUACGAUGGGGUCAUUGAGCAGUAUGGUCACUACUUUGGUAAAAAAGUUCCUUCCAGAGCACUACAUUAGGUAUGUUCAAUACAACAUCAAAAGCAUACACAAGAAAUAUGCCAGUGAAGUUCCCAGAUUUCUGCACUGCAAACCCAAAGUGUUUGUUGACCACUGUCUUGGACGACUGCUUACACCAGGCCAUCCAACUUCCAUAAGUGCAGAGGAAGUAGGACCAAGAAAGUUAAAGGUCACCAGCUAUGAUUCUGACAGUGUUUAUACUGUUGACUUGGGACAAGCUCUGCCUUGCUGCAGCUGUAAAGACUGGCUAAAUACACACUGGCCUUGCAAGCAUAUGUUGCAUGUCAUGAUAAACAUUCCUGGCAACAGUUGGCACACACUGUCAGAGGAUUUUAUUAAUUCCCCACAUUUGUGUUGUGACAGUGAUAUGUUUGUUGAAGGUCAAGUUCAUGACCAUGCCUCUGGUGACUCACCUGCAUCUGCAUUUGCAAAUGUUUCUGCAAAGAGGAAGGCAACUCUGAGCAUGUGCAGUGGUGGCAUAAUUAACAAAAAACCUGUGGCCAUAGCAUCCACAUGUAAAACUUUGGCUGCCUCUAUUAGAAAUAUGAUGUUUUUGGUACGGGACGCAGCUGACUAUGAAGACAUCUAUGUUGAUCUCCUAUUGGUUCAUAGGAACCUGGCAUCUCGAAUCCCGGCCCAGUCUGGUCUUUUUCUUCGGCCCACCAUAAGAGGGAGGAGACCCUCAGUGUUGUUGAAUGGCUCUCUCAAGAUGCGUAAGAAACAAAGUUGGAAAAGAAAACAAGUACUGAAGACUGCUGCCAGGGUUAAACAUCAUGUAUCUUCUAGUUUAAAGGUUAUCCCUCAGGAUAGUGUGCUGACCAUGUCUUUUAACAAAACAGACGCUGAUGACCUGUUAAAGUCUGGCCAACAAUUGAUGCCAGGAGUGGGACAGCAGGCAAAGAUUCCAUGUGAUGAUUGUGGUAGGUCCUAUCAUUUCACCAAUUACUGUGUUGAAGCAGAUUUUGAGAGACUGGGAGAUGGGGAGAGAUUUCGCUGCACUCUAUGCAGAAUGAACUACUGGCCCCGGGUACUAAGGCAACAACAGAGGGCUACCAACACAAACCAAUCCAACUUUCAAGAUUAUGAAUCCCUGGUAGACCAAGGGACGGCAGCAGAAGCACAGACAACAAAAGGCCAAAAGGUGCUGGCAGGACAUUUACCCGAAGGCCAAAAGGUGCUGGCAGGACAUUUACCCGAAGGCCAAAAGGUGCUGGCAGGACAUUUACCCGAAGGCCAAAAGAUGCUGGCAGGACAUUUGCCCGAGAGCCAAAAGGUGCUGGCAGGACAUUUGCCCGAAGGCCAAAAGGUGCAGUCAACACCACAUUAUUGAUGGCAUUGCAAACAAGGAGUUUGCAAACUUGUUUAAUGAAGAGUUUGGAUUGGCAGAGUGUUACCUGUCAAAAGUGUUGCAGAAGGAAGCAAUGAUUGUCAUUCUGCAAAUUCACUCUGCUGUCGGUUAUCAGGAGGUGGAUUCAUUACUGAAGGAGGCAGAGAGUACCAGUGACAGGGCAAUGUUGGCUGGGUUAUUGUAAAUGAGGCCAUGGAGUGUGAUGGCAAUACUUAGUAUUUUAUCACAAUCUUAAGUGAUUAUAUUGUUGAUAACAGACAGCCAUUAAGAUGUAAUUCAUUGUAAUUGUGCACAACUAUGUACCAAGUAUUUUAUAUCAGGAUAUACACCGGGGAAAUACCGGAUUAAAUUUUAGCAUUUGAACACAUGUUUCAUAGCGAAACUUAUCAGUUAUAUCGCAUUUUCUGUUUUGUCAUUGUACAGUUGAUGAGACCAUAAGUAAUAAAAUACACUGUUAAAUUUCACACUGAAAGUAAGGUAUGAAUGUGUCUAUUAAUGUGUCACCAAUACAACUUGCUUUGUAGACAUCCACAUCACCUUUGAUAGUUUGU